rnacentral:rRNA from 1 species
UACGUAGGUGGCAAGCGUUGUCCGGAUUUACUGGGUGUAAAGGGCGCGUAGGCGGGUCUACAAGUCAGAUGUGAAAUCCCGGGGCUUAACCCCGGAGCUGCAUCUGAAACUGCAGAUCUUGAGUACUGGAGAGGAAAGUGGAAUUCCUAGUGUAGCGGUGAAAUGCGUAGAUAUUAGGAGGAACACCGGUGGCGAAGGCGGCUUUCUGGACAGUAACUGGCGCUGAGGCGCGAAAGUGUGGGGAGCAAAC